AGGGUCCCCUUGAUCUUUGUCAUUCAGGAGGAAGAAAAAUAACACAUCAGUAUUGCAGGUACUAAACAGAUAAAUCAAUUUCAACAAAGU